UACGAGGGGGGCAAGCGUUGUUCGGAAUUAUUGGGCGUAAAGAGCGUGUAGGCGGCCAAACAGGUCAGCUGUGAAAACUCGAGGCUCAACCUCGAGACGUCGGUUGAAACCGUUUGGCUAGAGUCCGGAAGAGGAGAGUGGAAUUCCCGGUGUAGCGGUGAAAUGCGCAGAUAUCGGGAAGAACACCCGUGGCGAAGGCGGCUCUCUGGGACGGUACUGACGCUGAGACGCGAAAGCGUGGGGAGCGAACAGG
rnacentral:rRNA from 1 species